UGAGCCCUAGACUUGGUAUGUUGAGUC
rnacentral:piRNA from 1 species